CCAGCGUUGCCUCUGCGAGAGAUGUCGAUCUUCUGUCUGCGCAGAUUCCGAAACGCCUCCGCCAUCACAAGCACACCAUCAUACGUCAAUGAUGAUGUGUACUGAGGAGCAGGGACUGCAGGAUGGAAGUGCUAAUCAAUGGGAGUAGAGAAGGAGCUCCAUGUUAUCAACAGAGAGGAAAAGCAACGGUUUUUGAGCUGAGGACAGCACGACGAGACAUCAUCCUCACCUGUUCCAGAACGUUCUGGAGUCGUUCUGCCUCGAGGUCGAUGACGAACUUCUUCUCCUGUCGCCGGUCCAGGUCUUCCAGCAGUCUCCGG